GACGUAGGUGGCGAACGUUAUCCGGAAUUAUUGGGCGUAAAGGGUGCGUAGGGGGCCUGGCAAGUUAUUAGUGGUAAAUCGAGGCUCAACCUCGUGGAAACUAGUAAUACUGUCCGGCUUGAGUGCAGGAGAGGUUAACGGAACUCUAUGUGGAGGGGUAAAAUCCAUAGAUAUAUAGAUGAACAUCAAGAACGGCGAAGGCAGUUAACUAUUCUGUUACUGACACUGAGGCACGAAAGCGUGGGGAGCAAAACGG
rnacentral:rRNA from 1 species